rnacentral:lncRNA from 1 species
GUUCGAGGGGUCUUUUACGAGCCAUCCGCCAUGCUGGAUGGUCUAACAUUUGGGGGCUCGUCCCAGAUUUGCGACCACCCUUCACCUGUAUGGAUUCGAUCUUGGAGGGUUUCUCUGUGUAACAGCACUACCUGUCCUCCUGGCUCCGUCUCACAACAGCCUGCCUAAAAAAUGUCAAGAACACAAACUGGGGUUUGGAAAUUUUGCUCAGGCAAGCGCAAAUCCCUGAGUUUGGUCCUCAGCUCUGAAUGAAAAGCAAAACAGUGUUCCAGGGACUGAGCACUGUGCCAAGAGCCCUCACCCAGUGGCUGAAGGAAGCAGAGACAGACAUCCAGAGAUAUACACUGAGCCGAAAUCAGGAAUUUAGUUGAAGAGAGGAGGAAUGAAGAAUGAAGGAGUGUGUACCAGGUUGGAGAAACCCACAGGAACACUUGACCUGAACAAGGGAGAGCACGUCGACCCCAGAUGCUGUCAGGGAGGCCAGUACAAGACUGAUCCAGACCCCUGAACAUGGAUGUCAAUAAGGAGGCCUCUGCACUCCAGGGAGCCUCUGAUGGUGGAUUAGUAUUUUUCCCUGGUGCAAGAAGGGAUUUUGAGAGCUCAUCCCACGUGAAGGGUUAUACUCUGGCCCUGGACAAAUGGGGAAGGGUCCAGGACUGGCAUAGGAAGACUUGGUGGGCUUUGCAGAUCCCCCGUUGAGGGCCCUACCCUGCCUGGUGAGUGGUGG